CAGCACCUCAAGUGGUCAGGAUGAUUAUUGGGCCUAAAGCAUCCGUAGCCGGCUCUGUAAGUUUUCGGUUAAAUCUGUACGCUCAACGUACAGGCUGCCGGGAAUACUGCAGAGCUAGGGAGUGGGAGAGGUAGACGGUACUCGGUAGGAAGGGGUAAAAUCCUUUGAUCUAUUGAUGACCACCUGUGGCGAAGGCGGUCUACCAGAACACGUCCGACGGUGAGGGAUGAAAGCUGGGGGAGCAAACCGGAUUAGAUACCCGAGUAGUCA
rnacentral:rRNA from 1 species